AGAAAAUCCAUGACCCCCUAAAACUUCCGUGCUCCUGCGAUUGGUCUUCUGUGGCGAUGGGGUCGUCGAUUAUUCUAAUCGCCAGUCCUUCGUUGAUCAGCGAGAUUGCUUGACGAGAUCAACGUUCAACACCCAUGGGAAGGGGAAGCUUCUGCCCAGUCCAGUUCAGACUUCGCCUGACUGUCUGACAGGAUCAAGUGAUCGAUCAACGCCCGAGGGAAACAGGUGGCGCGGUCCUGAAUUGCUCAGAGCUCAACUCACUCACCUACUGUUCAAAGUUCAUAGAAGGGGA
rnacentral:lncRNA from 1 species